GAACUUUGACCUGGAGAUACCAUGAUCACAAAAAGUGGUUUUCCCAGGGUGAGACUCAUCCAUUGUAUUCCAGGUGUGCUGACCCUUGCGAUUUCCCCAAAUGCAGGAAACUCGACUGCGUAAUUUGUCGUAGUUGCUGGACUACAACUCCCAU